rnacentral:rRNA from 1 species
GACGAAGGUGGCGGCCGUUGUUCGGAAUCACUGGGCAUAAAGAGCACGUAGGCGGCAAGGUAUGUCGGGUGUGAAAUCCCUCGGCCUAACCGAGGAAUUGCGCCCGAAACUACCUUGCUUGAGGAUGGAAGGGGAGCGUGGAAUUCCUGGUGGAGCGGUGAAAUGCGUUGAUAUCAGGAGGAACACCGGCGGCGAAGGCGACGCUCUGGUCCAUUACUGACGCUGAGGUGCGAAAGCCAGGGGAGCAAUCGGG